rnacentral:rRNA from 1 species
UACGUAGGCGCAAGCGUUAUCCGGAAUUAUUGGGCGUAAGAGCUCGUAGGCGUUUGUCGCGUCUGCCGGUGAAAGUCCCGGGGCUCAACUCCGGAUCUGCGGUGGGUACGGGCAGACUAGAGUGAUGUAGGGGAGACUGGAAUUCCUGGUGUAGCGGUGAAAUGCGCAGAUAUCAGGAGGAACACCGAUGGCGAGGCAGGUCUCUGGCAUUAACUGACGCUGAGGAGCGAAAGCAUGGGGAGCGAACAGG